UCCCUGAUAGCUCAGUUGGUAAAGAAUCUGCCUGCAAUGCAGGAGACCCUGGUUUGAUCCCUGGGUUGGGAA
rnacentral:tRNA from 1 species